CAAUAGCGUAUAUUAAAGUUGUUGCGGUUAAAAAGCUCGUAGUUGGAUUUCUGCUGAGAACGACCGGUCCGCCCUCUGGGUGUGUAUCUGGCUCUUUCUUGGCAUCUUCUUGGUGAACGUUGCUGCACUUGACUGUGUGGAGCGCUACCCAGGACUUUUACUUUGAGGAAAUUAGAGUGUUUCAAGCAGGCAUACGCCUUGAAUACAUUAGCAUGGAAUAAUAAGAUAGGACCUCGGUUCUAUUUUGUUGGUUUCUAGAGCUGAGGUAAUGAUUAAUAGGGAUAGUUGGGGGUAUUCAUAUUUGGCAGUCAGAGGUGAAAUUCUUAGAUUUGCUGAAGAUGAACAACUGCGAAAGCAUUUACCAAGGAUGUUUUCAUUAA
rnacentral:rRNA from 1 species